UACAGAGGGUGCGAGCGUUAAUCGGAAUUAUUGGGCGUAAAGAGUGCGCAGGCGGCGACAAAAGUAUAUCGUGAAAUCCCAGAGCUUAACUUUGGAAUUGCGAUAUAAACUGUGUUGCUAGAUUAUUGUAGAGGAUAGCGGAAUUUCCGGUGUAGCGGUGAAAUGCGUAGAUAUCGGAAGGAACACCAGUUGCGAAGGCGGCUAUCUGGUAGAUUAAUGACGCUGAGGCACGAAAGCGUGGGGAGCAAACAGG
rnacentral:rRNA from 1 species